rnacentral:rRNA from 1 species
UACAGAGGUCCCAAGCGUUGUUCGGAUUCACUGGGCGUAAAGGGCGCGUAGGCGGCCUCCGCAAGUCAGUUGUGAAAUCUCCGAGCUUAACUCGGAAAGGUCAACUGAUACUGCGGGGCUAGAGUGCGGAAGGGGCAACUGGAAUUCUUGGUGUAGCGGUGAAAUGCGUAGAUAUCAAGAGGAACACCUGCGGCGAAGGCGGGUUGCUGGGCCGACACUGACGCUGAGGCGCGAAAGCUAGGGGAGCGAACGGG